rnacentral:misc_RNA from 1 species
AUCUCCCUCCUAUAGAGCCUUUGUCUUGUUUGUUUCUUCUAUUUCUAUCCCAUAGGAUUGAAAGAAAGUAUAUCUUGAUCUAAAUUGGAAGGAAGUCAUGAUAGAGGAGAUAAAGGCAUUAGCAAAAAAUGAGAUAAAGGAUCUUUUUACUCUUCCAUUAGGAAAGAAACUGGCAAGAUGUAAAUGAGUGUUUACAGUGAAGCAUAGAGCAAAUGGUUCCAUUGAGAGGUAUAAGGUCAGGUGUUACAUAGCAGAAUCUCAGA